GACGAACGCUGGCGGCGUGCUUAACACAUGCAAGUCGAACGAAGAGCGAUGGAAGCUUGCUUCUAUCAAUCUUAGUGGCGAACGGGUGAGUAACGCGUAAUCAACCUGCCCUUCAGAGGGGGACAACAGUUGGAAACGACUGCUAAUACCGCAUACGAUCUAAUCUCGGCAUCGAGGAUAGAUGAAAGGUGGCCUCUACAUGUAAGCUAUCACUGAAGGAGGGGAUUGCGUCUGAUUAGCUGGUUGGAGGGGGAACGGCCCACCGAGGCGAUGAUCAGUAGCCGGUCUGAGAGGAUGAACGGCCACAUUGGGACUGAGACACGGCCCAGACUCCUACGGGAGGCAGCAGUGGGGAAUCUUCCGCAAUGGACGAAAGUCUGACGGGGCAACGCCGCGUGAGUGAUGACGGCCUUCGGGUUGUAAAGCUCUGUUAAUCGGGACGAAAGGCCUUCUUGCGAAUAGUGAGAAGGAUUGACGGUACCGGAAUAGAAAGCCACGGCUAACUACGUG
rnacentral:rRNA from 1 species